UGGUCUCCAAAGACCUCUUCAAUUACUCUGGCUUUGUUAGAGAACCGCAAUACUUGAUGGUUGGUUGACGCUACCGAUCGCAUGGCGUGCAACCAUGUCCUCCCUAAGAUUAUGUUGUAAGUGGAAGGGACUUUCAAUACCCAGAAUUCCACAUGUUUCGUCAUGGUUCCUGUCUUGAUUGGGAGGAUUAUCUUGUCCACUGGCCACUCUGGCAUUGAGUUGAAUCCGAUUAGGGGAGACGUUGCAGGUGCCAGGUCUUUGUCUUCCAGUUUUAGUUGUUUGAAGGUUUCAUAAUACAUUAUUUCACAUGAGCUUCCUUAGUCAAUCAAAAUCCGCUUGAUGUCGAAAUUCUUGACGCGUAGAGUGACAACCAGUGCAUCAUUGUGAGGGCAGCAUAUCCUUGCUAAAUCUUUGU
rnacentral:sRNA from 1 species